ensembl:lncRNA
UGCACUUUAAACUGAAAACAGCAAGAAGCCCCCUCACAUGGAUAAACAUUUGGACUAAAUUUAUUUUGUAAUUUAUUCUGUGACGUCACACAACUUUGGAACACUGCAAAAGGGCAUCGAAGCUCCAAACACCUGGAAACUGGCAAACGUGAGCUUAAGAUUGUCGGAGGGGAACCGGAUGGCGUUGACAAGGCAACGGGAGCUCAUUAUCUCGUCGUCUAUGCUGGUCCACGGUGCGCCAUUGAUGGGUGCCAGAGGAGAGUUUCGAGCAGACAGAUGGGGUUGAACUCUGCAUUUCACGCAAAAGACGAGUGAGCUGGGAUAACAGCGUCCACAGAAAUGACAUGUCGGUGUUGUAAUCCUGGAUUACCUGUCUGCCUUGCUCUACUUCACUGUUCGUGUUGCACGUUCCACAUUAGACAAGAUGACAAACAGUGGCUAAGCCUGAGCUGCUGUGAGACUAUUUGAUAUGUAUUGUCAAGAUACAACAUGUAUGCAUUUAAAUUCAGCUAUCUAACACUCCUUACCCACACGUUUUCUACUGACCAUUUUUUGAAAUGAUGUCUGAAAAGGACAGGUAAGCCUGAAGCAGUUAAAGAAGAGGGGAAGGCGGAGAUGCAUCUGGACCCAUUUGAAAUUACUGCUUGUCUGAUUUCUUUUUUCUUACUUUUCUGUUGGAAGUGAACAUACAGCACUCAACUUGCAGCAGGUGGUUUACGUCAUAUCUUCCAGGAGUGAGCUAUUUAAGUUCUAAAAGAUUAAGUGUUGGACUAUGGCUAAAGCUUGCAGCAUAAAUCCUGGUGCACAAUACACCAGCUUCCUGAGCAAGAGACCUUCUGAACAAUAAAAAUUUGUUUUUGGUCAGGUAGACCAAAAAAAGCGACUGAAAGUCACGAAUAUGAAACCACAUAGUGAGCAUGAAUUAUUUACUACAAUUUAAGAGAUUUUAAGUUAACAAAGACGGUCAAAUAAAGGUAGUUUUAUGUGGCAUGUUCAAGAUAUUUUUAUUCCUUUUUUGGAUAUUUUCAGGCGUUCUUUUGAAUUUUCACUGAGCUGAGAAAUCGGUGCACACACC